rnacentral:tRNA from 1 species
GGUAUUGCUCAGUGGUAGAGCAUGUGUUUAUCAUGCACAAGGCUCUGGGUUCAAUCCCCAGCCA